rnacentral:rRNA from 1 species
GGAAGUAAAAGUCGUAACAAGGUCCUCCGCAUAUCAAUAAGCGGAGGGAUCAUUA